rnacentral:rRNA from 1 species
UACGUAGGGUGCAAGCGUUGUCCGGAAUUAUUGGGCGUAAAGAGCUCGUAGGCGGUUUGUCGCGUCUGCCGUGAAAGUCCGGGGCUCAACUCCGGAUCUGCGGUGGGUACGGGCAGACUAGAGUGAUGUAGGGGAGACUGGAGUUCCUGGUGUAGCGGUGAAAUGCGCAGAUAUCAGGAGGAACACCGAUGGCGAAGGCAGGUCUCUGGGCAUUAACUGACGCUGAGGAGCGAAAGCAUGGGGAGCGAACAGG